GCAAUGGCUGGGGGUUCUCGCUUCAUUUGGAUUCUCUUCCUCUUCUCUUGUGUCUUUCAAGCUUCUGAGAACAGAUAUGUCCAUCAGGAUGUGAUUCGUAAAAGCGGUCAUUCGGAAAAUCCAGAGGUGGACGACAUCCUUUCGAGGAUCCCUAUAACCCUACUAGAAGGAUUUGAUACCAAGAAUAUAAAUAUAACGUCAAUUACUAUCAAAACUUGUACUGGGAUGAAGGAACAGCUGGAACAUCUUAACAUUCAGCUUCAGCAGACAACUCAGCACAACAGCCAACUGAAUUAUGAAGCCUUCGGGUUGAGGGGGGAAGUCAGACUGCUGAAACUGCAGCUUGCGACAUGCAGCUCCACGGCCUCAGCUAUCACUGGCUCUUACCAAAUCCAGUUAAUCAGCAAAAUGAAUCAGCUUCUGGGGACGUUUGAUAGCGAUGCAUUUCUGAUCAUGAAAAUCAUUGCACUCACCACAGAGGUGAAUUCAUUACAGAGGAAGGUCAAGCAUUUUGCUAAUGGCACAGAAACAUAUCACAGCAGAGAGCUGCUGAGGGAGCAGCAGGAAAAGAUCACUGAACUGAGCAUGAAGAGGCAGCAGUUGGAAAGAAGCCACACAAAUGCUUUGCUGAUUCUUGAGAUCAUCUCACUGCAAAAUCAGAUAUGGGAUUUGGAUCACGCAGAAUCAAGAAAAGGAGAUCUUCAGCCCAACAAGCGAGUUCUGGCUCUUCAAGAACAGCUGAACAGGAAGAUCAGUGAGCUGCGAGGCAAAGGAGAUGCAAACACAGACGUGCUGGAGCUGAUUUCUAUGCACAGUAAGAUCGCAGCCUUGCAGAGGCUCAUCAAUGUCCACAUUGAGGAAUCCAGCACUAAGGCUGCCGAUUACCAGAGGCAGUGGAGGCUAAAAGCUGAGCUCCUUAAAAAGAAGAUUGUUCAGCUGAAUAAUGAAGAGCGCAACACUGAACUUACCAAGGAAAUUUUGAUCCUGCAGACUGAGGUGGAGCAUUUUAGACAAUUAUAUAUGAACGCCAAAAAGACAACUUACUCUCAACUUAAAGAGUUAAGAAUUACUUUGGAGGAGGCGAAGGAACAACAACAAAACUUACAGAAACACCUGGAGGAGGCAGAGUAUGCACAGGCACAACUGAUCAUAAAAAUCAUCAGCAUAAUGAAAGAGGUGAGAGAGCUGGACGUCGAUAAGCAACACCAGACAACAUCGACAAGUCAAACCACCACUCUUCAGACUCUGCUUCAGGUCAAAGAAAGGGAAUUAGCCAAAGCUCAGGCUGUAAUAAAUGAGCUGCAGAAGAAACUGUGGAUAAAGAGUAAACAAUGCUUUGGUCUGGAGGAAAGAUAUGAGGAGGUAAAGACCGAAUUUGAACAGAAGAUUGCAGAGCUGAACAGAACCGGAGACUCCAAAGCAGCACUCAUUCUGAACGUGAUAAACCUGCAUGAGGAUCUGAAGACUCUGAGGGACCUGAUCUCCACCACAGAAGACCCAGACAGGAUUUCAGAGCUGAAGAGGCAACUGGAGGAGAAGCAAGAGGAGCUGAUGUCCAAGUCGGCACACAUAGAGAGACUGAUUGCCCAUCCAACAACAAUUUUAACAAUCAUCGAGCUGCAGAAUGAGAUCUGGGACCUUGAGAAAAAGGUGGCAAAUGAGACCACUGGUGGCCGUAUAGAAGAGUUGCAAAACAGGGUGGAUGGUCUGUUAACGGAAAUAGAAGACAGAGACGACGACAACACAAAACUGAUUCUUAUAAUCAUGACGCUGCAGAGUCAGGUGGAGCGGCUAAAGAGACAGUUGUCAGACCAUCAGAUGUUCCAAACCCCCCUGGUAGCACAGCUCACAAAUGAUCUCACAACCAAGAAGGAUGAGCUGCAGGAAUACGUCAAAGAGCUGAAUGAGAAGAAUCAGAAAAACAGCAAGUUGAUUCUUACAGUCGCUGCUCUGCACAACCAACUCAGAAACCUUGAAAUAGAGAAGCACAAUGGCAACGCAACAUCGUCUUUAACAACAACUCAGCUGAGGGAACAACUGCGGGCCAAAACGGCGGAGCACUCUCGUGAUAAAGCUGAGCUCCAGGUCCUUCAGAUUCUGCUUCAAGCCAAAGAAAAGGAAAAUGCUAUUGCUCAGGCUGAAUUGAGAGAUAUGGAGAGGAAACUGCGGUUAAGGUGUGAAGAGUGUUCUGGAUUUGAGGAAAGAUAUAAGGAGGUAAAGACUGAAUUGGAACAGAAGAUUGCAGAGCUGAACAGAACCGGAGACUCCAAAGCAGCACUCAUUCUGAACGUGAUAAACCUGCAUGAGGAUCUGAAGACUCUGAGGGACCUGAUCUCCACCACAGAAGAUCCAGACAGAUUGUCAGAGCUGCAGAGGCAACUGGUGAAGAAGCAAGACGAACUGAACUCCAGGACUGUAGCGAUAGAGAGACUGAUUCCCAACCCCCAAAUAAUUUUAACAAUCAUCGAGCUGCAGAAUGAGAUUUGGGACCUUGAGAAAAAGGCUGCCAAUGAGACCACUGGUGGCCUUGUAGAAGAGUUACAAAGCAGAGUGGAUGGCCUUAUAAGUGAAAUAGACGACAAAGAAGUCGACAACACAAAACUGAUGCUGAAAAUCAUGACACUGCAGAGUCAGGUAGAGUGGCUAAAGAGACAGCUGUCAGACCUUGAGAUGGUACAAAGCAACAAGGUAACCCAGCUCACAAAUGAUCUCACAACCAAGAAGAACGAGCUGCAGGAAUACAUCAAUGAGCUGAAUGAGAAGAAUCAGGCAAAUGCCCAACUGAUUCUGACAACCACUGAGCUGCAAAACCAGCUCAGAAAACUAGAAAGAGAAAAGCACAAUGAGGGCCAAGCAACUUCUGCUGCAGUUACUAAGCUGAGGGAACAACUGAAGGAAAAAGUGGAGGAGCACUCUCGUGAUCAAGCUGAGAUCAACGCUCUGCAAAACAAACUGAACCAGACAGAGGCGCAGUGUUCCAGUUCUGAGCACAAUCUUAAAGAUCUGCAGAACGACCUGGAUUCCAAAAUGAAAGAACUGCAGUCCAAAUCUGAGUCUGUUUCUUCACUCGCUCUUCAGGUUUCUACAUUAACCCUGCAACUGGAGGAGCUAAAGAGAAGACUACAAAAUACUGAAUCUGAAACAAAGAUAAAAGAACUUCAAAAAAUUAUAAAUGAGAAAGAUACUGAACUGACCAAAAUAACAGAAGAGCUGAAAGCAAGAAGUGCUCAACCACUAAGAAUUCUACAGAUCAUUGCCGUACAAACGGAGAUUGAAAAGUUGGUGAAUGUAGCAGCAAAUGAGACAAAUUACAAUAAGAUUAGAGCUCUCCAAGACCAUUUGAAUUAUUUAAUUGACAAAAUUCAAGACGAAAACAAUGAAAAUACUAAACUGAUGUUUAAAAUCUUGGCUCAAAAAGAUGAAAUAGCGAGAUUGGAGAAGCAAGAACAGAGUCAGACACAAGCAGAACUGGAGAGAAUUAAAGAUCUGGAGGAUGAACUGCAGCACGUCAGAAAUCAGAUAAAAGAAAAGACACUGGUGCUGGACUCAAGCGAUACAAGGAUUGCUAAUUUGUCGGCUCAGAUUAUGGAACUUAACAAGAAAAUCAAACCAUUGGAGGAGGAGAUAUCAGACCUUAAAGAGACAAGUGCUGAGAAUAACAGAGAGCUGCAAAAGAGACUGGAUCUGACAAAGCGGCAACUGCAAGACAGUGAAGUCCUACUCAAGGAAGCAGAUGCGAAUAAUUUUAACUUGAUAAUGGAGAUUGCUGAUCUGAGGACACAACUGAAAAAGGCUCAGAAAAAGGCUGCAGUAAAAAACAUUGACGAAUUGGAACAACAACUGCAAACGCAACAAAGAGAGAACAAAAGGCUUGAAAACACAAAUAAAGCUCUGCAAAACGAACUGAACCAGACAGAGGCGCAGUGUUCCAGUUCUGAGCACAAACUUAAAGAGGUAAAGGCUGAAUUGGAACAGAACAUUGCAGAGCUGAACAGAACCGGAGACUCCAAAGCAGCACUCAUUCUGAACGUGAUAAACCUGCAUGAGGAUCUGAAGACUCUGAGGGAUCAGAUCUCCACCACAGAAGAUCCAGACAGAUUGUCAGAGCUGCAGAGGCAACUGGUGAAGAAGCAAGACGAACUGAACUCCAGGACUGUAGCGAUAGAGAGACUGAUUCCCAACCCCCAAAUAAUUUUAACAAUCAUCGAGCUGCAGAAUGAGAUUUGGGACCUUGAGAAAAAGGCUGCCAAUGAGACCACUGGUGGCCUUGUAGAAGAGUUACAAAGCAGAGUGGAUGGCCUUAUAAGUGAAAUAGACGACAAAGAAGUCGACAACACAAAACUGAUGCUGAAAAUCAUGACACUGCAGAGUCAGGUAGAGUGGCUAAAGAGACAGCUGUCAGACCUUGAGAUGGUACAAAGCAACAAGGUAACCCAGCUCACAAAUGAUCUCACAACCAAAAAGAACGAGCUGCAGGAAUACAUCAAUGAGCUGAAUGAGAAGAAUCAGGCAAAUGCCCAACUGAUUCUGACAACCACUGAGCUGCAAAACCAGCUCAGAAAACUAGAAAGAGAAAAGCACAAUGAGGGCCAAGCAACUUCUGCUGCAGUUACUAAGCUGAGGGAACAACUGAAGGAAAAAGUGGAGGAGCACUCUCGUGAUCAAGCUGAGAUCAACGCUCUGCAAAACAAACUGAACCAGACAGAGGCGCAGUGUUCCAGUUCUGAGCACAAUCUUAAAGAUCUGCAGAACGACCUGGAUUACAAAAUGAAAGAACUGCAGUCCAAAUCUGAGUCUGUUUCUUCACUCGCUCUUCAGGUUUCUACAUUAACCCUGCAACUGGAGGAGCUAAAGAGAAGACUACAAAAUACUGAAUCUGAAACAAAGAUAAAAGAACUUCAAAAAAUGAUAAAUGAGAAAGAUACUGAACUGACCAAAAUAACAGAAGAGCUGAAAGCAAGAAGUGCUCAACCACUAAGAAUUCUACAGAUCAUUGCCGUACAAACAGAGAUUGAAAAGUUGGUGAAUGUAGCAGCAAAUGAGACAAAUGACAUUAAGAUUAGAGCUCUCCAAGACCAUUUGAAUUAUUUAAUUGACAAAAUUGAAGACGAAAACAAUGAAAAUACUAAACUGAUGUUUAAAAUCUUGGCUCAAAAAGAUGAAAUAGCGAGAUUGGAGAAGCAAGAACAGAGUCAGACACAAGCAGAACUGGAGAGAAUUAAAGAUCUGGAGGAUGAACUGCAGCACGUCAGAAAUCAGAUAAAAGAAAAGACACUGGUGCUGGACUCAAGCGAUACAAGGAUUGCUAAUUUGUCGGCUCAGAUUAUGGAACUUCACAAGAAAAUCAAACCACUGGAGGAGGAGAUAUCAGACCUUAAAGAGACAAGUGCUGAGAAUAACAGAGAGCUGCAAAAGAGACUGGAUCUGACAAAGCGGCAACUGCAGACAGUGAAGUCCUACUCAAGGAAGCAGAUGCGAAUAAUUUUAACUUGAUAAUGGAGAUUGCUGAUCUGAGGACACAACUGAAAAAGGCUCAGAAAAAGGCUGCCGUAAAAAACAUUGACGAAUUGGAACAACAACUGCAA